UUUCCGUAGGUGAACCUGCGGAAGGAUCAUUACAGAGAAAUUGCCCUUCGGGGUAGAUCUCCCACCCUUUGUUUACAUUACCUUUGUUGCUUUGCAGGCCCGUCUUUUGACCGCUGGCUUAGGCUGGUCCGCGCCUGCCAGGGGACCCUAAACUCUUGAUUUUUGUGUCGUCUGAGUAACAUUAUAAUAAGUUAAAAACUUUCAACAACGGAUCUCUUGGUUCUG
rnacentral:misc_RNA from 1 species